GUCUCAGAAUGACUGCACAAAAAUAAAACUGGUAAUAAAAAUAGUUUCACAUAAAGUUAUCUACCCUAGUGGUUUUUUCAGUGAAUGUUAUUGUCAUGGUUUAUGGCUGUGUCCCCCAGGCCUCAUGAGUUUGCAUUGUGUAUUUGUGAUGGGUUCAUUGUCUAGUGCCUGGGUUGAUGGUGUCAGUGCUCCACCCACCUAGGGGUGGAGCCAGGAUGUGAUGUAAUGGCAGGAAGAAGGUGUAUCUUGCUCUUUGCCAGUUCUGACUUGCUGUUUGCAGCCUCCAUGAAAGGCAGCCCAGCCAUGCCGGCCUUCCUUGGAGCCAACUGAGUGUGGAUUUAAACCUCCAAAAACUAGGGAACUACCUGAUUCCCAUUGAUCCCUACCAGUGGAAGAAAGUUUUAAGCACAUACAACUCUCCUAGAAAAACCUCAUGAAGAUAAGGGACUGAAAGGAACAGAAAAUUUCAUACUUCCAGAAAAGAAGCAAAGAAUAUUGGAGAAAAUGGUUUGGAAGUAAAAAAGCUGCAAAAGGAGGACAGUGUGGUUCCUGGCUUAUCUCAGGACGUCGACCUUGGAAACCAUGGCUUUUUCUGCCCUAUUUCAAGUCUAUGGAUACAGUACUGAGAACAUGUGUGUGACUAGACCACCAGGCUAACCUGUAUAGAGAAUACACUUAAAGAGAAGAACGAAGUAGAAAAUUGUUAAAGGAAAACACUGAGGUGAAUCUUAUGCAAAUGGGAAGAGAACCCAGAGCUUGGAGAGAAGGAGGAGAAGGGGACAGAAGAAGAGGCAUCAUGUUUUCUGCUGAGUCUUCAACAACAAAAGGUAACAGGAAACUGGACGAAGUGGGGCACACCUGCAUCAGUGCUCUGGGAGCUGAGGACUAUGGGAAUGGAGGACUCUGGGAGCUGAGGAUUCUGGGAGCUGAGGACAGAGCAUUAUGAGUUACAAUGCAGCUGCAGCCUUGCUACCUUAGUGAGACCCUAUCUCAAAUGUAAAAAACAAAAAAAGAAAAAGAAAAAUAGGGAAAAAAUAAAAAGAUAUUCAUUUCCUCAUACUUGAACACUUCCUCACAUAAAUGUAUUUGUUCUGAUUUCGAUUUUGCUUAGUCAUCCUGUUUUUAAGGAACACAAUUAAUGUAAUUUAAAUGAUCUGAAAAUUUAUUUCUUAUAAUUGCUAAGUAAAAUUACACUUAGAUAUAAAUAUAUUUCAAACAGUCUCAUUGCAGGGCAAGAUUCAUACUCUUUUUUUCAAAGAUUAAAUUUCACAGAGUAAACCCUGGGAGAUACUAUUGUAUCUAUUGGAGGUGAAGCAAUAAUAUUGGCUCAGUGAAUGUAGUUAAACAGAACUGAAUUCUCAUUAUCAAAUCACUAUUCUCCUUGAUUUUUUUCACACACAAAGAAUUGCUUGUGUAAGUACAUAAUAAACAUUUUUCUUGUGUUUGUUAUAUAUAAGUAUUCAUUUUUAUAUUAAACAAAAACCCUACAUACUAAGUCUCAUUUUUAAGACUUAAAUGAGGUAUCACCUUUGUUCUGGCCUCUCCCUUUUGCAUUUUCCCUUCAAAAUCUUUUUUGAUACCUCAGGCUUAGAUGUCCUUUCUUUGUAAUUUUAUAAUACUUUGUCAAUACAUUUAUGCUGGCAUGCUCCAUUUUGUAUAUUUUGUAUAAUUACUUAGUCUGUGACUGUCACCUCCUCUAGAUUAUUAAUGUAGCAAAGAUCAUGAAUUAUCAUGAAUAUUUGUUAAAGAAGAAAUGUCUGUGCCAUAUGCUUGAUUUCUAACCAAUUAGGCUAGGACUCAGGGAUAGGUGAUUUACCAGUGAAUUUCGGAUUUGAAAUCUCUUUUUAAAAUGAGAUAUUUAUAGAAUUUAAUAAAUAGUUGAAGAAUGAAUAUCCUGAA